UUCAGAGCAGAGACACCGAGCAGAGAAGAGACAGAAAGAGAGUUUUUCGACCGUCUCGAGCUUUGAAUCAGGAUGUUGGUUCUCUUCUGGGCGACUCUGCUCGUCUCUGUGAGAGGCAACAGUGCUGAUGCAGGUGCAUCAGUGGGAGGAAGACAACAAUGUUUACGCUUCCUAUAUGGAUACUGUAUCACUCUGCCUGAAGGAGAAAUAACAGCUGAGGCCGGACUCUGUGUUGUGAUACCGUGCUCUUUCACUACUAGUUAUAG